rnacentral:rRNA from 1 species
GACGAACGCUGGCGGCGUGCUUAACACAUGCAAGUCGAACGGAAAGGCCCUGCUUUUGUGGGGUGCUCGAGUGGCGAACGGGUGAGUAACACGUGAGUAACCUGCCCUUGACUUUGGGAUAACUUCAGGAAACUGGGGCUAAUACCGGAUAGGAGCUCCUGCUGCAUGGUGGGGGUUGGAAAGUUUCGGCGGUUGGGGAUGGACUCGCGGCUUAUCAGCUUGUUGGUGGGGUAGUGGCUUACCAAGGCUUUGACGGGUAGCCGGACUGAGAGGGUGACCGGCCACAUUGGGACUGAGCUACGGCCCAGACUCCUACGGGAGGCAGCAGUGGGGAAUAUUGCACGAUGGGCGGAAGCCUGAUGCAGCAACGCCGCGUGCUGGAUGACGGCCUUCGGGUUGUAAACCGCUUUCGCCUGUGACGAAGCGUGAGUGACGGUAAUGGGUAAAGAAGCACCGGCUAACUACGUG